UCCACGUACCCACCAUCCAAUCAGUUUCCUGCUCAUGCACUGUCCACGCGUUCUACCAUCCAAUCAGCUUCCUGCUCAUACGCUGUCCAUGUACUCCACCAUCCAAUCAGUUUCCUGCUCAUAUGCCGCCCAGUCGCUCCUCCAGCCAAUCACAAUCUCUCUCCCAGCUGUCACUAACUGACUCUCUCCUCCUCACAGCCGCCUCUCACCCCUCAGCCCGUUCCCAACCCUCCGGCCUGCGGCUGUGCCUCCCCCCGGGGCCUUCUGUUGUAACGAAGUUCAGCAAAUUAGAGAGGCAUUAUGUUCAAGGCAACUGGAGAAGUUUUCAUACUUGGGAUGUUGAAUUGAAAGCAGCAGCACUUCCAGGAAAGUGGACUAACAAAGUUUCUGAUUACCAAUAUCUUACUAUGAAACUGUUGAAGACUACUGAAAUUCUGGAUGCCUGAGACAAAAGAGAGCUUUUCCUUGCAUUUUCUACACCAAUGUGUCCAGGCACACUCCUCUGAAGACCAGGUUCUUGUUCUCACAGAAGAUUUAUUGCUGAAGAAAAAUAAGAAAAACAGUUAUGAUCAAGGGAAUUGUUUUAAAAAGAACUUUU
rnacentral:lncRNA from 12 species